rnacentral:rRNA from 1 species
AUACGUAGGGGGCGAGCGUUGUCCGGAAUGAUUGGGCGUAAAGGGCGCGUAGGCGGCCCGGUAAGUCUGGAGUGAAAGUCCUGCUUUUAAGGUGGGAAUUGCUUUGGAUACUGUCGGGCUUGAGUGCAGGAGAGGUAAGUGGAAUUCCCAGUGUAGCGGUGAAAUGCGUAGAGAUUGGGAGGAACACCAGUGGCGAAGGCGACUUACUGGACUGUAACUGACUCUGAGUCGCGAAAGCGUGGGGAGCAAACAGGAUUAGAUCCCCUGGUGGUCCACGCCGUAAACGAUGAAUACUAGGUGUAGGGGGUAUCGACUCCCUCUGUGCCGCAGUUAACACAAUAAGUAUUCCGCCUGGGGAGUACGGCCGCAAGGUUGAAACUCAAAGGAAUUGACGGG